AUAUCAAUAAGCGGAGGAAAAGAAACCAACAGGGAUUGCCUUAGUAACGGCGAGUGAAGCGGCAAAAGCUCAGAUUUGAAAUCUGAUGUUGUUAAACAUCCGAAUUGUAAUCUGUAGAGAAGUACUUUAUGUCAGAUAUUAGCUUAAGUCCUUUGGAAUAGGGCGUCAUAGAGGGUGAGAAUCCCGUUCAUGGCUUUUGUUCUGUUCAUUUGUAAGUCUUCUUCAACGAGUCGAGUUGUUUGGGAAUGCAGCUCUAAAUGGGUGGUAAAUUUCAUCUAAAGCUAAAUAUUGGCAAGAGACCGAUAGCGCACAAGUAGAGUAAUCGAAAGAUGAAAAGAACUCUGGACAGAGAGUUAAACAGUAC
rnacentral:rRNA from 1 species